GCAGCGGGCCGGCAGAGACGCGAGAACGGCCGGGGCUGGCCCCUCCCGGGACCCGUAGCGCAGGCAGCGCCGCGGUCACGUGACGCGGCGGCGCCUGCGGGCGGGGCCGUGACUCCGGGAUCCCGUCCCGGGGCGCGUUUCUGGCGCGGGCCGCGCACCAACCGCAGGGAACGACUUCUCACGGACAAGCUAAAUUGGCAUUUAAGAGCAAGGCUCCUGGCUUCGAGUUCAAGAUGACGGAGUAGCAUUCAGCAGGUGUGGCUCAGUGGGAGAGAGUCAACCUAUGAACCAGGAGAAAUCGUGGUUCACUUUCUGGUCUGGGCACAUGCCUGGGUUGCAGGCUUGAUCCCUAGUAGGUGGCAUGCAGGAGGCAGCUGAUCAAUGAUUCUCUCUCAUUAUUGAUGUUUCUAUCUCUCUCUCCCUCUCCCUUCCUCUCUGAAAUCAAUAAAAAU